UACAGAGGGUGCGAGCGUUAAUCGGAAUUACUGGGCGUAAAGCGUGCGCAGGCGGCUUCUCAAGUCAGGGGUGAAAGCCCAGAGCUCAACUCUGGAACUGCCUUUGAGACUGAGAGGCUUGAGUACGGGAGAGGUGAGUGGAAUUCCCAGUGUAGAGGUGAAAUUCGUAGAUAUUGGGAAGAACACCGGUGGCGAAGGCGGCUCACUGGCCCGUAACUGACGCUCAUGCACGACAGCGUGGGGAUCAAACAGG
rnacentral:rRNA from 1 species